AGAGUUUGAUCCUGGCUCAGAUUGAACGCUGGCGGCAUGCCUUACACAUGCAAGUCGAACGGUAACAGGCCGCAAGGUGCUGACGAGUGGCGAACGGGUGAGUAAUGCAUCGGAACGUGCCCAGUAGUGGGGGAUAGCCCGGCGAAAGCCGGAUUAAUACCGCAUACGACCUGAGGGUGAAAGGGGGGGAUCGCAAGACCUCUCGCUAUUGGAGCGGCCGAUGUCAGAUUAGCUAGUUGGUGGGGUAAAGGCCUACCAAGGCAACGAUCUGUAGUUGGUCUGAGAGGACGACCAGCCACACUGGGACUGAGACACGGCCCAGACUCCUACGGGAGGCAGCAGUGGGGAAUUUUGGACAAUGGGCGCAAGCCUGAUCCAGCAAUGCCGCGUGCAGGAAGAAGGCCUUCGGGUUGGGAACUGCUUUUGUCAGGGAAGAAAUCUUC
rnacentral:rRNA from 1 species